AUUUGAUGAUGAGGACAACUAGCACAUAAUUGCUUGAAUCUUUCCCAAUAUUCAUGUAGAGUUUCUCCAUUGAAUUGUCGAAUUUCACAGAUGUCUUUCCUAAUGCU